rnacentral:rRNA from 1 species
GUCUUGGGGUGGAUAGACAUGCUAGUCAGCGCUUCCCAGCCAAAGGGGAGUGCGGCAUACAGCUCAGUAACACGUGGCUAACCUGCCCUCGAGACAGAGACAACCCCGGGAAACUGGGGCUAAUCUCCGAUAGGCGAAGAGCUCUGGAAUGAGCCUUUACCCAAAUAACAAUCAGGCUACGCUUCUGGUUGUCGCUCGAGGAUGGGGCCGCGACCGAUCAGGUUGUUGGUGAGGUAACGGCUCACCAAGCCUAUAACCGGUGCGGGCCGUGGGAGCGGGAGCCCGGAGAUGGGCACUGAGACAAGGGCCCAGGCCCUACGGGGCGCAGCAGUCGCGCAAACUUUGCAAUACACGAAAGUGUGACAGGGCUAUCCCGAGUGCCGUCCGCUGAGGAUGGCUUUUACCUAGUCUAGAACGCUGGGGGAAUAAGGAGAGGGCAAGUCUGGUGUCAGCCGCCGCGGUAAUACCAGCUCUCCGAGUGGUGUGGAUGUUUAUUGGGCCUAAAGCAUCCGUAGCUGGCCAAGUCAGUCCCUUGUUAAACCCACCGAAUUAAUCGUUGGAUUGCGGGGGAUACUGCUCGGCUAGGGGACGAGAGAGGCAGACGGUAUUUUCGGGGUAGGGGUGAAAUCCUAUAAUCCCGGGAAGACCACCAGUGGCGAAGGCUGUCUGCUAGAACGCGCCCGACGGUGAGGGAUGAAAGCUGGGGGAGCGAACCGGAUUAGAUACCCGGGUAGUCCCAGCUGUAAACGAUGCACGCUAGGUGUUUGGGCGGCCACGUGCCGCUCUAGUGCCGCAGGGAAGCUGUUAAGCCUGCCGCCUGGGGGAGUACGGUCGCAAGAUUGAAACUUAAAGGAAUUGGCGGGGGAGCACCACAAGGGGUGAAGCUUGCGGUUUAAUUGGAGUCAACGCCGGG